AAGAAAAAUAUUAAUUUUUUUUACAUAUAAUAUACCAUAAAUUAAUGUGAAUAUGACGAAUACAAAUAAAAUUGAGUUUUAUUAUGUAAUUUCACUUAUUAACUAUUUAUAUAUAAUAUGAAUCAUUAAUUUAUAGUACUUUAACUUUUCUACUUAGGGAUGAAGAAAACUAAAAUUUGGUGUUGGAGAAGAAAAUUAUUGAAUUUAUUUACAUAUAAUAUACCAUAAUACAAUGUGAAUAUGCCGAAUACGAAUAAUGUUGAUGUUGAUUAUGUAAAUUCACUUGUUACCUAUUUAUAUAUAAUAUGAAUCAUUCAUUUAUAGUUUUUUUAACUUUGUUGCUUAGUAUUGAAGAAACCUAAAAUUUGGUGAUGGAGAAAAAAAAUAUUAAAUUCUUUUUAACAUAUAAUAUACCAUAAUAUAAUGUGAAUAUAAGGAAUAAAAAUAAUAUUGAGCUUUAUUAUGUAAUUUCAGUUGUUAACCAUUUAUAUAUAAUAUGAAUCAUUAAUUUAUAGUGGUUUAACUUUGUUACUUAGUGAUGAAGAAACCUAAAAUUUG
rnacentral:lncRNA from 1 species